UACGGGGGGAGCAAGCGUUGUUCGGAUUUACUGGGCGUAAAGGGCGCGUAGGCGGCCAGCGCAAGUCAGUUGUGAAAUCUCCGGGCUUAACUCGGAACGGUCAACUGAUACUGCGCGGCUAGAGUGCAGAAGGGGCAACUGGAAUUCUCGGUGUAGCGGUGAAAUGCGUAGAGAUGCGGAGGAAUACCAGUGGCGAAGGCGGCCUCCUGGGUCUCAACUGACGCUGAAGCGCGAAAGCAUGGGGAGCGAACGGG
rnacentral:rRNA from 1 species